GACGAACGCUGGCGGCGUGCCUAAUACAUGCAAGUUGAGCGCUGAAGGUUGGUACUUGUACCGACUGGAUGAGCAGCGAACGGGUGAGUAACGCGUGGGGAAUCUGCCUUUGAGCGGGGGACAACAUUUGGAAACGAAUGCUAAUACCGCAUAAAAACUUUAAACACAAGUUUUAAGUUUGAAAGAUGCAAUUGCAUCACUCAAAGAUGAUCCCGCGUUGUAUUAGCUAGUUGGUGAGGUAAAGGCUCACCAAGGCGAUGAUACAUAGCCGACCUGAGAGGGUGAUCGGCCACAUUGGGACGGAGACACGGCCCAAACUCCUACGGGAGGCAGCAGUAGGGAAUCUUCGGCAAUGGACGAAAGUCUGACCGAGCAACGCCGCGUGAGUGAAGAAGGUUGUCGGAUCGUAAAACUCUGUUGGUAGAGAAGAACGUUGGUGAGAGUGGAAAGCUCAUCAAGUGACGGUAACUACCCAGAAAGGGACGGCUAACUACGUG
rnacentral:rRNA from 1 species